rnacentral:rRNA from 1 species
GGGCCAGACUCCUACGGGAGGCAGCAGUGAGGAAUAUUGGUCAAUGGUCGGGAGACUGAACCAGCCAAGCCGCGUGAGGGAGGAAGGUACAGAGUAUCGUAAACCUCUUUUGUCAGGGAACAAAGGCGGGGACGUGUCCCCGGAUGAGUGUACCUGAAGAAAAAGCAUCGGCUAACUCCGUGCCAGCAGCCGCGGUAAUACGGAGGAUGCGAGCGUUAUCCGGAUUUAUUGGGUUUAAAGGGUGCGCAGGCGGUCUGUUAAGUCAGCGGUCAAAGCCCGGGGCUCAACCCCGUCGAGCCGUUGAAACUGGCAGACUUGAGUUGGCGAGAAGUACGCGGAAUGCGCGGUGUAGCGGUGAAAUGCAUAGAUAUCACGCAGAACUCCGAUUGCGAAGGCAGCGUACCGGCGCCCAACUGACGCUCAUGCACGAAAGCGUGGGUAUCGAACAGGAUUAGAUACCCCCGUACUA